CGAAUGUCUCGCAACACCCUGUCUAAAUGGUGGUACUUGUCAGAUAACUGACAUCGGUUACCGAUGUGAAUGCAUUGAUCAAUUCAUCGGGCAGAACUGUGACAUAGAAAACGAAUGUCUCGCAACACCCUGUCUAAAUGGUGGUACUUGUCAGAUAACUGACAUCGGUUACCGAUGUGAAUGCAUUGAUCAAUUCAUCGGGCAGAACUGUGACAUAGAAAACGAAUGUCUCGCAACACCCUGUCAAAAUGGAGGUACUUGUCAGCUAACUGAAAUCGGUUACCAGUGUAUUUGCUCGGGUCCAUUCAUCGGCCAGAACUGUG